UACAUGUGGGGCAAGCGUUGUUCGGAAUUACUGGGCGUAAAGGGUGCGUAGGUGGCUUGUUAAGUCGGGGGUGAAAGUUUUCGGCCCAACCGGAAAAUGGCCUUUGAUACUGGCGAGCUCGAGUGCGUGAGGGGUAACCGGAACGAGCAGUGUAGCGGUGAAAUGCGUAGAUAUUGCUCGGAAGGCCAACGGCGAAGGCAGGUUACUGGUACGCAACUGACACUGAGGCACGAAAGCGUGGGGAGCAAACAGG
rnacentral:rRNA from 1 species